rfam:Danio rerio chromosome 5, GRCz11 reference primary assembly.
UGCCACAGCCAUGUCACCCUGCAGCCCAAGACUGGUUACUCACUGAAGCUAAGCAGGGCUGAGCCUGGUCAGUACCUGGAUGGGAGACCACUAGGGAACACUAGGUUGCUGUUGGAA